rnacentral:rRNA from 1 species
CAAUAUAUGAGACCGGCGCACGGGUGCGUAACGCGUAUGCAACCUACCUUUUACAGGGGGAUAGCCCAGAGAAAUUUGGAUUAAUACCCCAUGGUAUAUUUUAGUGGCAUCACUAGAUUAUUAAAGUUCCAACGGUAAAAGAUGGGCAUGCGUCCUAUUAGCUAGAUGGUAAGGUAACGGCUUACCAUGGCUACGAUAGGUAGGGGUCCUGAGAGGGAGAUCCCCCACACUGGUACUGAGACACGGACCAGACUCCUACGGGAGGCAGCAGUGAGGAAUAUUGGACAAUGGGCGCAAGCCUGAUCCAGCCAUGCCGCGUGCAGGAAGAAGCAUCUAUGGUGUGUAAACUGCUUUUGUACAGGAAGAAACACUCCCUCGUGAGGGAGCUUGACGGUACUGUAAGAAUAAGGAUCGGCUAACUCCGUGCCAGCAGCCGCGGUAAUACGGAGGAUCCAAGCGUUAUCCGGAAUCAUUGGGUUUAAAGGGUCCGUAGGCGGUUUGGUAAGUCAGUGGUGAAAGCCCAUCGCUCAACGGUGGAACGGCCAUUGAUACUGCCAGACUUGAAUUACUGGGAAGUAACUAGAAUAUGUAGUGUAGCGGUGAAAUGCUUAGAGAUUACAUGGAAUACCAAUUGCGAAGGCAGGUUACUACCAGUGGAUUGACGCUGAU